rnacentral:rRNA from 1 species
UACGAACUGUGCGAACGUUAUUCGGAAUCACUGGGCUUACAGGGUGCGUAGGCGGCUUAGCAAGUCAGGUGUGAAAGCCCCCGGCUCAACCGGGGAACUGCGCUUGAAACUGCUGAGCUCGAGUCAGCUAGAGGUACACGGAACUUCCAGUGGAGCGGUGAAAUGCGCAGAUAUCAGGAAGAACACCCGUGGCGAAGGCGGCUCUCUGGAACGGUACUGACGCUGAGACGCGAAAGCGUGGGGAGCGAACAGG